rnacentral:rRNA from 1 species
AUCGAACGCUGGCGGAAUGCUUUACACAUGCAAGUCGAACGGUAGAGGGGGCAACCCCUCGAGAGUGGCGAACGGGUGAGUAAUAUAUCGGAACGUGCCCAGUCGUGGGGGAUAACGUAGCGAAAGUUACGCUAAUACCGCAUACGCUCUAAGGAUGAAAGCGGGGGAUCGCAAGACCUCGCGCGAUUGGAGCGGCCGAUAUCAGAUUAGGUAGUUGGUGGGGUAAAGGCUAACCAAGCCAACGAUCUGUAGCUGGUCUGAGAGGACGACCAGCCACACUGGAACUGAGACACGGUCCAGACUCCUACGGGAGGCGGCAGUGGGGAAUUUUGGAGAAUGGACGCAAGUCUGAUCCAGCCAUUCCGCGUGCGGGAUGAAGGCCCUCGGGUUGUAAACUGCUUUUGUACGGAACGAAAAGGUCUCUCUUAAUACGGGGGGCUCAUGACGGUACCGUAAGAAUAAGCACCGGCUAACUACGUGCCAGCAGCCGCAGUAA